rnacentral:rRNA from 1 species
GGGCCCGCACAAGCAGUGGAGCAUGUGGUUUAAUUCGAAGAUACGCGCAGAACCUUACCAACACUUGACAUGUUCGUCGCGACUCUAAGAGAUUAGAGUUUUCGGUUCGGCCGGACGAAACACAGGUGCUGCAUGGCUGUCGUCAGCUCGUGUCGUGAGAUGUUGGGUUAAGUCCCGCAACGAGCGCAACCCUCACUUUUAGUUGCCAUCAUUAAGUUGGGCACUCUGAAAGAACUGCCAGUGAUAAGCUGGAGGAAGGUGGGGAUGACGUCAAGUCCUCAUGGCCCUUACGUGUUGGGCUACACACGUGCUACAAUGGUAUCUACAACAGGAAGCAAGACUGCGAAGUUUAGCAAAUCCUUAAAAGAUACCUCAGUUCGGAUUGCACUCUGCAACUCGAGUGCAUGAAGCUGGAAUUACUAGUAAUCG